rnacentral:rRNA from 2 species
UCCAUGAUUCAGCGGCGGACGGGUGAGUAAUGCCUAGGAAUCUGCCUAUUAGUGGGGGACAACGUUUCGAAAGGAACGCUAAUACCGCAUACGUCCUACGGGAGAAAGCAGGGGACCUUCGGGCCUUGCGCUAAUAGAUGAGCCUAGGUCGGAUUAGCUAGUUGGUGAGGUAAUGGCUCACCAAGGCGACGAUCCGUAACUGGUCUGAGAGGAUGAUCAGUCACACUGGAACUGAGACACGGUCCAGACUCCUACGGGAGGCAGCAGUGGGGAAUAUUGGACAAUGGGCGAAAGCCUGAUCCAGCCAUGCCGCGUGUGUGAAGAAGGUCUUCGGAUUGUAAAGCACUUUAAGUUGGGAGGAAGGGCAUUAACCUAAUACGUUAGUGUUUUGACGUUACCGACAGAAUAAGCACCGGCUAACUUCGUGCCAGCAGCCGCGGUAAUACGAAGGGUGCAAGCGUUAAUCGGAAUUACUGGGCGUAAAGCGCGCGUAGGUGGUUUGUUAAGUUGGAUGUGAAAGCCCCGGGCUCAACCUGGGAACUGCAUCCAAAACUGGCAAGCUAGAGUAUGGCAGAGGGUGGUGGAAUUUCCUGUGUAGCG